UACGAAGGGUGCAAGCGUUAAUCGGAAUUACUGGGCGUAAAGCGUGCGUAGGUGGUCUUUUAAGUCCGUUGUGAAAGCCCUGGGCUCAACCUGGGAAUGGCAGUGGAUACUGGAAGGCUGGAGUACGGUAGAGGAGGGUGGAAUUCCCGGUGUAGCGGUGAAAUGCGUAGAUAUCGGAAGGAACACCAAUGGCGAAGGCAGCCGCCUGGGCCUGAUCUGACACUGAGACACGAAAGCGUGGGGAUCAAACAGG
rnacentral:rRNA from 1 species